rnacentral:rRNA from 1 species
CCUACGGGUGUGCUGCAGUGGGGAAUAUUGGACAAUGGGCGAAAGCCUGAUCCAGCCAUGCCGCGUGUGUGAAGAAGGCCUUCGGGUUGUAAAGCACUUUCAGUGGGGAAGAAAGCCUUGGGGCUAAUACCCUCGAGGAAGGACAUCACCCACAGAAGAAGCACCGGCUAACUCCGUGCCAGCAGCCGCGGUAAUACGGAGGGUGCGAGCGUUAAUCGGAAUUACUGGGCGUAAAGCGCGCGUAGGCGGUCUGAUAAGCCGGUUGUGAAAGCCCCGGGCUCAACCUGGGAACGGCAUCCGGAACUGUCAGGCUAGAGUGCAGGAGAGGAAGGUAGAAUUCCCGGUGUAGCGGUGAAAUGCGUAGAGAUCGGGAGGAAUACCAGUGGCGAAGGCGGCCUUCUGGACUGACACUGACGCUGAGGUGCGAAAGCGUGGGUAGCAAACAGGAUUAGAUACCCCAGUAGUC